AUGACGUCAAUCAUCAUGCCCCUUAUGACCUGGGCUACACACGUGCUACAAUGGCUGGUACAACGAGUCGCGAGCCGGUGACGGCAAGCUAAUCUCUUAAAGCCAGUCUCAGUUCGGAUUGUAGGCUGCAACUCGCCUACAUGAAGUCGGAAUCGCUAGUAAUCGCGGAUCAGCACGCCGCGGUGAAUACGUUCCCGGGCCUUGUACACACCGCCCGUCACACCACGAGAGUUUGUAACACCCGAAGUCGGUGAGGUAACCGUAAGGAGCCAGCCGCCUAAGGUGGGAUAGAUGAUUGGGGUGAAGUCGUAACAGGUAACCGUUGA
rnacentral:rRNA from 1 species